rnacentral:rRNA from 1 species
UACGUAGGGUGCGAGCGUUGUCCGGAAUUAUUGGGCGUAAAGAGCUUGUAGGCGGUUUGUCGCGUCUGCCGUGAAAGCCCAGGGCUUAACCCUGGGUCUGCGGUGGGUACGGGCAGACUAGAGUGUGGUAGGGGAGACUGGAAUUCCUGGUGUAGCAGUGAAAUGCGCAGAUAUCAGGAGGAACACCGAUGGCGAAGGCAGGUCUCUGGGCCACUACUGACGCUGAGAAGCGAAAGCAUGGGGAGCAAACAGG